rnacentral:rRNA from 1 species
AUACGGAGGGAGCAAGCGUUAUUCGGAAUCACUGGGCGUAAAGGACGCGUAGGCGGGUUUGUAAGUCAGGUGUGAAAUCCUACAGCUCAACUGUAGAACUGCACUUGAAACUACAGACCUAGAGUAUGGAAGGGGCAGAUGGAAUUAGUGGUGUAGGGGUAAAAUCCGUAGAUAUCACUAGGAAUACCGAAAGCGAAGGCGAUCUGCUGGGACACUACUGACGCUGAGGCGCGAAGGCGUGGGGAGCAAACAGGAUUAGAAACCCCAGUAGUCC